rnacentral:rRNA from 1 species
AACGAACGCUGGCGGCAUGCCUAACACAUGCAAGUCGAACGAGACCUUCGGGUGUAGUGGCGCACGGGUGUGUAACGCGUGGGAACCUGCACUUAUGGUCGGCAUAACUCCACGACAGGGGUGAUAAUACCGGAUCAUGUCUUCGGACCAAAGAUUUAUCGAACUUGUAGGGGCCAGCGUUGGAUUAGCUAGUUGGUAGGGUAAAAGCCUACUAAGGCGACAAUCCAUAGCUGGUUUGAGAGAAAGAUCAGCCACACUGGGACUGAGACACGGCCCAGACUCCUACGCGAGGGAGCAGUGGGUAAUAUAGCAACAUCGCGGGAAGCCUGAUCCAGCAAGGCCGCGUGAGCGAUGAAGGUCUUAGGGUUGUAAAGUGUUUUUACCUGGGAUGAUAAUGACAGUACCGAGAGAAUAAGCUCCGGCUAACUCCGUG